rnacentral:rRNA from 1 species
UGCGGAAGGAUCAUUAAUGAGUUGUGAUUGGGUUUGAUGCUGGCAUCCAAAUUUCUUUUGGAUGCAUGUGCUUGCCCUAACAAUCAUCUUCCAAAACACCCGUGCACAUUUUUUUUGAAGGGGCUUCGAGCUGAUUGCCACUUCCUGGUGGAUCUGCUUUUCCCUUUCGAAUCAUUAUACGCCAUUGACAAAUGCCGAACGUGUGUUGCGCCGCAAGGCCAUUAAAUAUAAUACAACUUUUAACAACGGAUCUCUUGGCUCUCGCAUCGAUGAAGAACGCAGCGAAAUGCGAUAAGUAAUGUGAAUUGCAGAAUUCAGUGAAUCAUCGAAUCUUUGAACGCACCUUGCGCUCCCUGGUAUUCCGGGGAGCACGCCUGUUCGAGUGUCACGAAAUUUCUCAAGCAUGGAUGGCUUUUUUGUCUGUCCUUAGCCUUGGUGUUUGGGCUUUGCCGUGUCCUUCAUUGGGAUGGCUGGCCUUAAAAGCAUUAGCUGAUCCUUGUGUAGUAGCCGGUUCUACUCAGCGUGAUAAUGGCAUGAUCGCUGAGGACAUCUUUUGGGAUGGCCGGCCCUCAUUUGGGUUGCUUCUAAACUUGGUGUUGCGGAUUUUCUCAGUCUGCGCCUCCACUGUUUCAGCUUUGACCUCGAAUCAGGUGGGACUACCCGCUGAACUUAAGCAUAUCAAUAAGCGGAGGAAAAGAAACUAACAAGGAUUCCCCUAGUAACGGCGAGUGAAGAGGGAAGAGCUCAAAUUUAAAAUCUGGUAAU